GGUUUUAGGCAAAACCUGUCUGUAAGGGUGUGACGAGCCUAGAUAGGUACUUAACCUCUAAUUCGAUAAGCCGUCAGUGUUCGAUAGGGUACUGAUUGUGAUGACGACUAGAAAGUCAGCAGGUGGAAGCAUCUGUGCGUGGGUUAGGUAGCCUCAUAUACAUGAACGACUGAUGUAGAGUUCGAUUGGGGAGAUAAGUAUCUAAUGCGUGUCAUUAGGUCACCUCGGUAUGACUAGGGUGAGAGCUAGGAACCGUAGGGGUGUUCUCAAAGGAAUCCUUUGCAGUGACGUCCUCGUAAGUGGACUAUAACAGUAGAACUCGUAUUAGUAGCCUAAUACUGCAGCCCUUUUGGGGUUUGUUGUCCAUAUAGUUUAAGAUGGAAACAUAUUACAAGAUAUUUACUCUUGUUAGGUGAAAGUUGAUGGUCGCCAAGCCAGUCCGUACAUCCAAAAAGGACUCUAUUUAGUAGGAAGUCGAGAGCCUAUGAGAGUUAGAGUCGGUACGAAACAUCUAUUGUCUGCAGUGUAUGUGUUGGUAGGGCUAAAAACCCUUGCCUAUUU
rnacentral:ncRNA from 1 species